rnacentral:lncRNA from 1 species
UUCCAGGUUUCGGACGAAGCGGCGAGACUUUGGAGAGGCGUACCAAUUGUGUGUGAUUUAUGUGUGUAUUCGUGCGUGUUUUGGAGUGGGUGUACGCACAGUGUCUACACAUACAGUAGUACUGUAUAUGUAUAUAUAUAAGUAAAGUAUGAAAGAGUAGACCGAGAAAUGGUGAUGGGGAUUGGGUAGUUUGGUGGGAGAGAUGAUGGAAAUUGGAAGGUAGUGUGGUUG